rnacentral:rRNA from 1 species
AUUGAACGCUGGCGGCAUGCCUUACACAUGCAAGUCGAACGGUAACGGGCCUUCGGGUGCCGACGAGCGGCGGACGGGUGAGUAAUACAUCGGAACGUGCCCGAUCGUGGGGGAUAACGAGGCGAAAGCUUUGCUAAUACCGCAUACGAUCUACGGUUGAAAGCAGGGGACCGCAAGGCCUUGCGCGGGCGGAGCGGCCGAUGGCAGAUUAGGUAGUUGGUGGGAUAAAAGCUUACCAAGCCGACGAUCUGUAGCUGGUCUGAGAGGAUGAUCAGCCACACUGGGACUGAGACACGGCCCAGACUCCUACGGGAGGCAGCAGUGGGGAAUUUUGGACAAUGGGCGCAAGCCUGAUCCAGCCAUGCCGCGUGCAGGAUGAAGGCCUUCGGGUUGUAAACUGCUUUUGUACGGAACGAAAAGCCUUCUUUUAAUACAGGAGGGUCAUGACGGUACCGUAAGAAUAAGCACCGGCUAACUACGUG